rnacentral:lncRNA from 1 species
AUAAUACAAUGCAUUCAAUAUCAUUUUAAUUUCUAAGCUAUGUUCAUGAUCGAUUUCGUCUUAGCAGAGGUUCAGUGCCAGCGAGGCGAGUAAUUUUCUACAUAUUGUCAACUUUAUCAUUUUUCGUGACAUUAAAAUUAAUUGAAUAUCCUGUAUUUACAACGAGCGAUAUAUGCCUUAAAUUAAGAUCAAAUGCUGCAUGAUCCCCUCCUAAAUUAUUAAAAUAUUCCCAGUGGCAUUAACCACACUGGCCAUGAUAUCUCAGUGUUAAUAAGGUACCAGGGUUAACAUUUCAAACAUUUGUAUUAAGGGAUGACCAAUUGAUUUUCAGGAGGGGGAGGGGGGUGUAGAAAAAUAAUAUUCUUAGACUAAUUUCCUACAUAAAUAAUUAUUUGACCUAGGCAGGAUGGAAAAGAAUGAUCUGCAACACAAAAUACAGGAAAUAAUUGUGUACAAAAGU